rnacentral:rRNA from 1 species
AUUGAACGCUGGCGGCAUGCCUUACACAUGCAAGUCGAACGGUAACGGGUCCUUCGGGAUGCCGACGAGUGGCGAACGGGUGAGUAAUAUAUCGGAACGUGCCCAGUAGUGGGGGAUAACUGCUCGAAAGAGCAGCUAAUACCGCAUACGACCUGAGGGUGAAAGGGGGGGAUCGCAAGACCUCUCGCUAUUGGAGCGGCCGAUAUCAGAUUAGCUAGUUGGUGGGGUAAAGGCCUACCAAGGCAACGAUCUGUAGUUGGUCUGAGAGGACGACCAGCCACACUGGGACUGAGACACGGCCCAGACUCCUACGGGAGGCAGCAGUGGGGAAUUUUGGACAAUGGGCGCAAGCCUGAUCCAGCAAUGCCGCGUGCAGGAAGAAGGCCUUCGGGUUGUAAACUGCUUUUGUCAGGGAAGAAAUCUUCUGGGUUAAUACCCUGGGGUCAUGACGGUACCGUAAGAAUAAGCACCGGCUAACUACGUGCCAGCAGCCGCGGUAA